AGAGUUUGAUCCUGGCUCAGGAUGAACGCUAGCGGCAGGCCUAAUACAUGCAAGUCGAACGGUAAAUGCCCUUUCGGGGGUAUGAGAGUGGCGCACGGGUGCGUAACGCGUAUGCAACCCACCCGCUGCCGGGGGAUAGCCCGGAGAAAUUCGGAUUAAUACCCCAUGAGGAGUUUGAGCGGCAUCGCUUGAAUUUCAAAACUUCGGUGGCGGCGGACGGGCAUGCGUGCCAUUAGAUAGUUGGCGGGGUAACGGCCCACCAAGUCGACGAUGGCUAGGGGAUCUGAGAGGACGGUCCCCCACAUUGGAACUGAGACACGGUCCAAACUCCUACGGGAGGCAGCAGUGAGGAAUAUUGGUCAAUGGUCGAGAGACUGAACCAGCCAAGUAGCGUGCAGGACGACGGCCCUAUGGGUUGUAAACUGCUUUUAUAUGGGGAUAAAGUGCGGCACGUGUGCCGUUUUGUAGGUACCAUAUGAAUAAGGACCGGCUAAUUCCGUGCCAGCAGCCGCGGUAAUACGGAAGGUCCGGGCGUUAUCCGGAUUUAUUGGGUCUAAAGGGAGCGCAGGCGGGCUUUUAAGCGUGACGUGAAAUGUGGAUGCUCAACAUCCGAGCUGCGUCGCGAACUGGAGGCCUUGAGUGAGUACGACGUGGACGGAAUUCGUGGUGUAGCGGUGAAAUGCUUAGAUAUCACGAAGAACCCCGAUUGCGAAGGCAGUCCACGAGUCCUUUACUGACGCUAAAGCUCGAAAGUGCGGGUAUCGAACAGGAUUAGAUACCCUGGUAGUCCGCACGGUAAACGAUGGAUGCCCGCUGUUUGCGACAUACUGUAAGCGGCCAAGAGAAAUCGUUAAGCAUCCCACCUGGGGAGUACGCCGGCAACGGUGAAACUCAAAGGAAUUGACGGGGGCCCGCACAAGCGGAGGAACAUGUGGUUUAAUUCGAUGAUACGCGAGGAACCUUACCCGGGCUUGAACUGCAGCGGAAGGAUACAGAGAUGUUGACGCCCUUCGGGGCCGCUGUGGAGGUGCUGCAUGGUUGUCGUCAGCUCGUGCCGUGAGGUGUCGGCUUAAGUGCCAUAACGAGCGCAACCCCUUUCGUCAGUUGCCAUCAGGUCAAGCUGGGCACUCUGGCGACACUGCCACCGUAAGGUGUGAGGAAGGUGGGGAUGACGUCAAAUCAGCACGGCCCUUACGUCCGGGGCUACACACGUGUUACAAUGGGUGGUACAGAGAGUCGGCCGCUGGCAAUGGCGGUCCAAUCAUCAAAGCCAUCCUCAGUUCGGAUUGGGGUCUGCAACCCGACCCCAUGAAGCUGGAUUCGCUAGUAAUCGCGCAUCAGCCAUGGCGCGGUGAAUACGUUCCCGGGCCUUGCACACACCGCCCGUCA
rnacentral:rRNA from 1 species